UACGUAGGGGGCUAGCGUUGUCCGGAAUCAUUGGGCGUAAAGAGCGUGUAGGCGGCUCGGUAAGUCCGCUGUGAAAGUCCAGGGCUCAACCCUGGAAUGCCAGUGGAAACUGUCGAGCUAGAGUCCGGAAGAGGCGAGUGGAAUUCCUGGUGUAGCGGUGAAAUGCGCAGAUAUCAGGAGGAACACCAAUGGCGAAGGCAGCUCGCUGGGACGGUACUGACGCUGAGACGCGAAAGCGUGGGGAGAAAACAGG
rnacentral:rRNA from 1 species